rnacentral:rRNA from 1 species
CGGCAAUAGCUCAAAUUUGAAAGCUGGCCCCUUCGGGGUCCGCGUUGUAAUUUGUAGAGGAUGAUUCGGCGAGGGCUCCCGUCUAAGUCCCUUGGAACAGGGCGUCAUAGAGGGUGAGAAUCCCGUAUGUGAUGGGCUGCCUUAGCCAUGUGAAUCUCCUUCGACGAGUCGAGUUGUUUGGGAAUGCAGCUCUAAAUGGGAGGUAAAUUUCUUCUAAAGCUAAAUACCGGCCAGAGACCGAUAGCGCACAAGUAGAGUGAUCGAAAGAUGAAAAGCACUUUGGAAAGAGAGUUAAAAAGUACGUGAAAUUGUUGAAAGGGAAGCGCUUGCAGCCAGACUUGUCCGCAGUUGCUCAGCUUGUCUCCUGACAGGCGUACUCUUCUGCGGCCAGGCCAGCAUCAGUUCGGGCGGUCGGAUAAAGACCUAGGGAAUGUAGCUCCUCUCGGGGAGUGUUAUAGCCCUGGGUGCAAUGCGGCCAGCCUGGACUGAGGAU